AGAGCGAACGCUGGCGGCAUGCUUAACACAUGCAAGUCGCACGGUUCGGGGGCAACCCCGGGCAGUGGCGGACGGGUGAGUAACACGUGAAUAAUCUACCUCCGAGUGGGGAAUAACUGAGAGAAAUCUUAGCUAAUACCGCAUAACACUUACGAGUCAAAGCAGCAAUGCGCUUGGAGAGGAGUUCGCGGCAGAUUAGUUAGUUGGCGGGGUAAUGGCCCACCAAGACGAUGAUCUGUA
rnacentral:rRNA from 1 species